UACGUAGGACCCAAGCGUUGUCCGGAAUUACUGGGUGUAAAGGGUGCGUAGGCGGGCUUGCGCGUCGGAGGUUAAAGACCACAGCUUAACUGCGGAAGUGCCUCCGAUACGGUGAGUCUUGAAUUCGAGAGAGGUAAGUAGAAUUCCUGGUGUAGCGGUGAAAUGCGUAGAUAUCAGGAGGAAUACCAGUGGCGAAGGCGGCUUACUGGCUCGACAUUGACGCUGAGGCACGAAAGCGUGGGGAUCAAACAGG
rnacentral:rRNA from 1 species